GAACACGGAGCUUGCUCUGUGGGAUCAGUGGCGAACGGGUGAGUAACACGUGAGCAACCUGCCCCUGACUCUGGGAUAAGCGCUGGAAACGGCGUCUAAUACUGGAUAUGUGACGCGACCGCAUGGUCUGUGUCUGGAAAGAAUUUCGGUUGGGGAUGGGCUCGCGGCCUAUCAGCUUGUUGGUGAGGUAAUGGCUCACCAAGGCGUCGACGGGUAGCCGGCCUGANAGGGUGACCGGCCACACUGGGACUGANACACGGCCCAAACUCCUACGGGAGGCAGCANUGGGGAAUAUUGCACANUGGGCGCAANCCUGAUGCAGCANCGCCNCGUGAGGGACGACGGCCUUCGGGUUGUAAACCUCUUUUAGCANGGAAGAAGCGAAAGUGACGGUACCUGCAGAAAAAGCGCCGGCUAACUACGUGCCAGCAGCCGCUGUAUUACGUAGGGCGCAAGCGUUAUCCCGNAUUAUUGGGGCGUAAAGAGCUUCUAAAGCCGGNUUGUCCCGCUNUGCCUGUGAAAANCCCGAGGGCUCANCCNCCGGCCUUCAUUUGGNUACC
rnacentral:rRNA from 1 species